GACGGAGGGGGCAAGCGUUGUCCGGAUUUAUUGGGCGUAAAGCGCGUGUAGGCGGCUAGACAAGUCUGCUGUGAAAACUCGAGGCUCAACCUCGAGCUGUCGGUGGAAACUGUCUGGCUAGAGUCCGGAAGAGGAGAGUGGAAUUCCUGGUGUAGCGGUGAAAUGCGCAGAUAUCAGGAAGAACACCUAUGGCGAAGGCAGCUCUCUGGGACGGUACUGACGCUGAGACGCGAAAGCGUGGGGAGCGAACAGG
rnacentral:rRNA from 1 species